GUGCCAGCAGCCGCGGUAAUACGAAGGGGGCUAGCGUUGCUCGGAAUUACUGGGCGUAAAGGGAGCGUAGGCGGACAUUUAAGUCAGAGGUGAAAUCCCGGAGCUUAACUUCGGAACUGCCUUUGAUACUGGGUGUCUUGAGUGUGAGAGAGGUAUGUGGAACUCCGAGUGUAGAGGUGAAAUUCGUAGAUAUUCGGAAGAACACCAGUGGCGAAGGCGACAUACUGGCUCAUUACUGACGCUGAGGCUCGAAAGCGUGGGGAGCAAACAGGAUUAGAUACCCCGGUAGUCC
rnacentral:rRNA from 1 species